rnacentral:rRNA from 1 species
AUACGGAGGGUGCAAGCGUUGUUCGGAAUUACUGGGCGUAAAGGGCGCGUAGGCGGUAAUGUAAGUCAGAUGUGAAAUCCUUCGGCUUAACCGGAGAACUGCAUCUGAAACUGCAUAACUAGAGUACAGAAGAGGGAAACGGAAUUCCCGGUGUAGAGGUGAAAUUCGUAGAUAUCGGGAGGAACACCAGUGGCGAAGGCGGUUUCCUGGUCUGAUACUGACGCUGAGGCGCGAAAGCGUGGGGAGCAAACAGGAUUAGAUACCCUGGUAGUCCACGCUGUAAACGGUGAGUACUGGGUGUGGGAGGUGUAAUACCUUCCGUGCCGUAGUUAACGCGAUAAGUACUCCGCCUGGGAAGUACGGCCGCAAGGUUGAA